rnacentral:rRNA from 1 species
UACGUAGGGUCCGAGCGUUGUCCGGAAUUAUUGGGCGUAAAGGGCUCGUAGGCGGUCUGUUGCGUCGGGAGUGAAAACUUACAGCUUAACUGUGAGCGUGCUUCCGAUACGGGCAGACUUGAGGUAUUCAGGGGAGAACGGAAUUCCUGGUGUAGCGGUGAAAUGCGCAGAUAUCAGGAGGAACACCCGUGGCGAAAGCGGCUCUCUGGGACGGUACUGACGCUGAGACGCGAAAGCGUGGGGAGCAAACAGG